rfam:Ailuropoda melanoleuca scaffold380_34, whole genome shotgun sequence.
GCACAGCUGGCUCAGUUGGUGGAGCGUGUGACUCCUGGUCUCGGGGUUAUGAGUUCAAGCCCCAUGUUGGGUG